rnacentral:tRNA from 1 species
GCGCCUGUAGCUCAGAGGAUUAGAGCGUCUGACUACGGAUCAGAAGGUCGGGGGUUCGAUUCCCUCCAGGCGCGCCA